rnacentral:lncRNA from 1 species
GUAGGGUUUCGCGCCGUAGGCCGCUGCGGCGAAGAGUGUGGGAACGGUAGGAGUGGGAGGAGGGUGGUGGUGGGUGCGGAGGGGGAGAGGGAGUUUGGAGAGGGAUAUGGAGGAGGCGAAGGAGAGCGACGCCAUGGGAGGAGAGGGGAGGAGCGCGACGACGACGCCAUGGGAGGAGAGGGGUGGAGAAGGGGAGGGAGAUAACUUCGCGGAGCACAUUGUGUAGGAUGAGG